rnacentral:rRNA from 1 species
AUCGAACGCUGGCGGCAUGCCUUACACAUGCAAGUCGAACGGCAGCACGGGAGCAAUCCUGGUGGCGAGUGGCGAACGGGUGAGUAAUAUAUCGGAACGUGCCCAGUCGUGGGGAUAACGUAGCGAAAGUUACGCUAAUACCGCAUACGAUCUAUGGAUGAAAGCGGGGGAUCGCAAGACCUCGCGCGAUUGGAGCGGCCGAUAUCAGAUUAGGUAGUUGGUGGGGUAAAGGCUCACCAAGCCGACGAUCUGUAGCUGGCCUGAGAGGACGACCAGCCACACUGGGACUGAGACACGGCCCAGACUCCUACGGGAGGCAGCAGUGGGGAAUUUUGGACAAUGGGCGCAAGCCUGAUCCAGCCAUGCCGCGUGCAGGAUGAAGGCCCUCGGGUUGUAAACUGCUUUUGUACGGAACGAAAAGGUUUGGCCUAAUACGCUGAACCCAUGACGGUACCGUAAGAAUAAGCACCGGCUAACUACGUGCCAGCCGCCGCAGUAAUAC